rnacentral:rRNA from 1 species
GACGAACGCUGGCGGCGUGCUUAACACAUGCAAGUCGAACGGAAAGGCCCUGCUUGCCGGGUACUCGAGUGGCGAACGGGUGAGUAACACGUGGGUGAUCUGCCCUGCACUUCGGGAUAAGCUUGGGAAACUGGGUCUAAUACCGGAUAGGAGCCAUCUUUAGUGUAGUGGUUGGAAAGUUUUUUCGGUGUAGGAUGAGCUCGCGGCCUAUCAGCUUGUUGGUGGGGUAAUGGCCUACCAAGGCGGCGACGGGUAGCCGGCCUGAGAGGGUGUACGGCCACAUUGGGACUGAGAUACGGCCCAGACUCCUACGGGAGGCAGCAGUGGGGAAUAUUGCACAAUGGGCGCAAGCCUGAUGCAGCGACGCCGCGUGGGGGAUGAAGGCCUUCGGGUUGUAAACUCCUUUCGCUAGGGACGAAGCUUUGUUGUGACGGUACCUAGAUAAGAAGCACCGGCUAACUACGUG